rnacentral:rRNA from 1 species
GUGGGGAAUAUUGGACAAUGGGCGCAAGCCUGAUCCAGCCAUGCCGCGUGAGUGAUGAAGGCCUUAGGGUUGUAAAGCUCUUUCAGUGGGGACGAUAAUGACGGUACCCACAGAAGAAGCCCCGGCUAACUUCGUGCCAGCAGCCGCGGUAAUACGAAGGGGGCUAGCGUUGUUCGGAUUUACUGGGCGUAAAGCGCACGUAGGCGUAUCGUUAAGUCGGGGGUGAAAUCCUGGAGCUCAACUCCAGAACUGCCUUCGAUACUGGCGAUCUUGAGUCCGGAAGAGGUGAGUGGAACUCCUAGUGUAGAGGUGGAAUUCGUAGAUAUUAGGAAGAACACCAGUGGCGAAGGCGGCUCACUGGUCCGGUACUGACGCUGAGGUGCGAAAGCGUGGGGAGCAAACAGGAUUAGAUACCCUAGUAGUCC